GCAUGGGUCUGGAUUUACGAUAGGCCCACCUCCCCACUCCCAGGACUCUCAUAGUGCCCUGCGCCAGAGUAAACUGUGGCCUUGAACCAUUGCUUGGCAUCUGCUGGUAGUCUGCGGGUACUGAAGCAGGUUGCAUAGUG